UACGUAUGGUGCAAGCGUUAUCCGGAUUUACUGGGUGUAAAGGGAGCGCAGGCGGAAGGCUAAGUCUGAUGUGAAAGCCCGGGGCUCAACCCCGGUACUGCAUUGGGAACUGGUCAUCUAGAGUGUCGGAGGGGUAAGUGGAAUUCCUAGUGUAGCGGUGAAAUGCGUAGAUAUUAGGAGGAACACCAGUGGCGAAGGCGGCUUACUGGACGAUAACUGACGCUGAGGCUCGAAAGCGUGGGGAGCAAACAGG
rnacentral:rRNA from 1 species